rnacentral:rRNA from 1 species
AUUGAACGCUGGCGGCAGGCCUAACACAUGCAAGUCGAACGGUAACAGGAAACAGCUUGCUGUUUCGCUGACGAGUGGCGGACGGGUGAGUAAUGUCUGGGAAACUGCCUGAUGGAGGGGGAUAACUACUGGAAACGGUAGCUAAUACCGCAUAACGUCGCAAGACCAAAGAGGGGGACCCUCGGGCCUCUGCCAUUGGAUGUGCCCAGAUGGGAUUAGCUUGUUGGUGGGGUAACGGCUCACCAAGGCGACGAUCCCUAGCUGGUCUGAGAGGAUGACCAGCCACACUGGAACUGAGACACGGUCCAGACUCCUACGGGAGGCAGCAGUGGGGAAUAUUGCACAAUGGGCGCAAGCCUGAUGCAGCCAUGCCGCGUGUAUGAAGAAGGCCUUCGGGUUGUAAAGUACUUUCAGCGGGGAGGAAGGGAGUAAAGUUAAUACCUUUGCUCAUUGACGUUACCCGCAGAAGAAGCACCGGCUAACUCCGUG